CCGCUCUGCUGUUGGGACUAAUUUGGAUGGGAAUGGUGAUUUGAUGGUUGAUUAUGAUUACCUGGUUCUUGCUCUUGGAGUUACUGUGAAUACAUUCAACACUCCUGGUGUGAUGGAGCAUUGCCACUUUCUGAAGGUAGUGGAGGAUGCCCAAAAGAUUCGGAAGAGCGUGAUAGACUGCUUUGAAAAGGCGUCACUUCCUAACCUCAGUGAAGAGGAGAAAAGGAAGAUCCUUCACUUUGUGAUUAUCGGUGGUGGACCUACUGGGGUUGAAUUUGCUGUGGAGUUGCAUGAUUUUCUUGUCGAAGAUCUGGUGAAGCUAUAUCCUGCAAUUGAAGAAAACUCUCAACUCCUACUUGCGCUCCGCCUCUUCCUCCUUUUCAUCGCUCAAUAGGAGGCAGCUCAUCUGGCCGUGCAGCAGACCACGUCCUGAGCGGGUCGGUGACGGCGGUUGCAGCUGGUGCACGAUGGCGAUUCCAACGACAACAGGAAUCUGCAACUUGUUAGACUUCUUUGCAACCCCAACAAGGCCCUCAUCUGCUUUGUCUACAUAUAUGCAUGAUUUCUAUGAUUGGAAUCAGAUAGCACUAACUAUGUGUCAGACUGCUAAUAUUUAUUUGCUUGAUGAUCCUUGAAGCGCACUCUACGCUCAUACAUGAUCCCACAUAUUCUAGAUGCUUUCUUGAGGCUUUGGCUAAAAAUCUGUGGUGUACGUCACUCAUCAGGUAACUCUGACGGGCUAAUGCCUUAAGCUGGGACAUACAACAAAAUACUUAUUUUAUGGGAGGAGUUUAUGGAACUGGGUAGUGCUCAUCAGGAUGCUCUUGCAGCAAUUGACACAAUCGAUGUGGCUAAUGGAGCCAGUUCCUAUCUUUAGACAGUCACAUCCACGUUCGUACUUUUAGAAUAGUUGUUGCAACGGGGAAGAGCAUUUCUGCAAUAGCAAGAUAUCAGGACCCAAUGGGCAUAGGCCGAACCAACCACCAUCACUAUUGCUUCAGGAUUAGAUAGCCAACUUCCACUCAUGAGCCUGUCGAGUCAAGUUUCAGACUGAUCAUGUAUCCCCUUGAUAUUCACUGGAUGGAAUCCCCUGUUUUACUCAAACUGAACCUUCUACAAACAUCGGAAAAGCAACAGUAGUAAAGAUGGACAGAAAUUCCAAAAAUAAGGUGUUUUUUAUGGAUGUAGCUGGUUGCGAUGAAGCUAAACAAGAAAUAAUGCUAUCACUUAUUACCUUUGUCCUUCAAAUUUGAGUAUAGGCCUGCGAAAUAAUGAAUAUUUGUGUCUCAUUGCUCCAGCAUGGUCAAUAAAGAUAUGUUGACCCAGGAAAUAGGUUGGAUGGAGCAUCGAGGAUUUCAGGCUUGGGGUGGCCACGUGUUGCAGGAUAGCAAGAAGAGUUGGAUGUGUUCUGCAGAGACCAGGAGAGGGAGCUACAAUGGCAGGAGAAGAAUGCAACGAGGUGCGGUCUUCUGUUCGAUGCCAAGGGCCUGUCCGGCAGUGAUUUCCUCGGGAUGAUCUAGAUGAUAUAACAAAAGGAUUAUAUAUGCAUUUGUGUGCUUCAGAAAAGGUUACUGCUACAUUCAACUUUUCACCAGAAAUGAUUCGUAUAUCCUGAAGAUGUUGCUAGCGUCUUGAAGGAUUACUUAUAUUUGCUCCCUAAUUUCCUGGAUUAUACGAAGUGAGUUGGAUCAUCGAGGGUUGGCGAAACUGAUAUUCAAAUUUGUUUUGUUCUUUAGACCAGACAUUAGCCCUUUCUCUCUAUUUAACAUAUUUCAAGUUCUCAUGUUACAUUAUACUCCCUCCGUCCCAUAAUGUAAGACGUUUUUUGACACUAAUGUAGUGUAAAAAAAGUCUUACAUUAUGGGACGGAGGGAGUAGUAAAUAUUCAAUUCACUUCUAUUUUGUAGACAGGUCAUUAGCCUUUUCUCUCUAUUUAACACAUUUCAAGUUCUCAUGUUACAUCAAAAGUACGCUGGUUAGGAUGUUUGCAACAUGCCGUGUGUUGUAAUCUUUGUCCACUGUACAUGCACAUAUUAAAUACUUUCAUUAGUACUUUUACAUAUUUCAAGUUCUCAUUGUUCAGUUUGUUGGUUUAAUAGAGAAUGUUCCUGAUCCUUACUUUCAUAGGUACAUUUAGAAGUCACAAUAGAGAAGGUUCGUAGCCUUGGCUCCAAAGCUUCAAGCUCUUAUAGAAAUUAGAACUGAGGGCCUUUUAAAAUGAGUCCUGCAUAAUAGUGUUUUUCAGUAGGAUGCAGAAUUUUUGUUUGUCUGAUCGGCUAUCCUUGGUGCUGAUUUACGUACUGAUUUCAUCAUCAUAUGACUACAAUAAAGAAGCUGUGUGUAUAAAUA